rnacentral:rRNA from 1 species
CCUACGGGCGGCAGCAGUGAGGAAUAUUGGUCAAUGGGCGCGAGCCUGAACCAGCCAAGUCGCGUGAGGGAAGACGGUCCUAUGGAUUGUAAACCUCGUUUGUCGGGGAGCAAACGACGCCACGCGUGGCGUUCCGAGAGUACCCGAAGGAAAAGCAUCGGCUAACUCCGUGCCAGCCGCCGCGGUAAUACGGAGGAUGCGAGCGUUACGCGGAAUCACGGGGCGUAAAGGGCGCGUAGGCGGGAGUGCAAGUCCGAUGUGAAAUCCCAUGGCUUAACCAGAGAACUGCAUUUGAAACUGUUAUUCUAGCGUAUGGGCGCGGUAGGUGCACUUCUUGGUGUAGGGGUCAAAUCCGUCGAUAUCAAGAGGAAUACUCAUUGCGAAGGCGACCUGCUAGAACAUAACUGACGCUGAUGCGCGAACGCGUGGGGAGCAAACAGGAUUAGAUACCAGAGUAGUC